CCUAUGGGGCGCAGCAGGCGCGAAACCUCCACAAUGCGCGAAAGCGUGAUGGGGGGAUCCCGAGUGCUUACAUUAUAUGUAAGCUUUUGCCAAGAGUUCACAUCUUGGAGAAUAAGUGGUGGGUAAGACCGGUGCCAGCAGCCGCGGUAACCCCGGCGCCACGAGUGGCAAUCUUUUAUUGGGCCUAAAGCAUUCGUAGCAGGUUUGAAAAAUCCUUUGUGAAAUUGUUGAACUCAAUACAACAGCGUGCAGAGGACACUUUCAGACUAGAGACUGGGAGGAGUUGGGGGUAUGCCUGGGGGAGCGGUUAAAUGCGAUAAUCCUAGGUAGACCACCUGUGGCGAAGGCGCCCAACUAGAACAGUUCUGACUGUGAGGGAUGAAAGCUAGGGUAGCGAACCGGAUUAGAUACCCUCGUAGUCC
rnacentral:rRNA from 1 species